UACGGGGGGGGGCAAGCGUUGUUCGGAAUUACUGGGCGUAAAGGGCUCGUAGGCGGCCAACUAAGUCCGACGUGAAAUCCCCAGGCUUAACCUGGGAACUGCGUCGGAUACUGGAUGGCUUGAAUCCGGGAGAGGGAUGCGGAAUUCCAGGUGUAGCGGUGAAAUGCGUAGAUAUCUGGAGGAACACCGGUGGCGAAGGCGGCUACCUGGACUUACACUGACACUGAGGCGCGAGAGCGUGGGGAGCAAACAGG
rnacentral:rRNA from 1 species